GAUGAAGAACGUAGCGAAAUGCGAUAAGUAAUGUGAAUUGCAGAAUUCAGUGAAUCAUCGAUUCUUUGAACGCACAUUGCGCCCGCCAGUAUUCUGGCGGGCAUGCCUGUUCGAGCGUCAUUACAACCCUCAGGCCCCCGGGCCUGGCGUUGGGGAUCGGCGGAAGCCCCCUGCGGGCACAACGCCGUCCCCCAAAUACAGUGGCGGUCCCGCCGCAGCUUCCAUUGCGUAGUAGCUAACACCUCGCAACUGGAGAGCGGCGCGGCCACGCCGUAAAACACCCAACUUCUGAAUGUUGACCUCGAAUCAGGUAGGAAUACCCGCUGAACUUAAGCAUAUCAAUAAGCGGAGGA
rnacentral:misc_RNA from 1 species